GUGACUGCGUGCGCCAUGUUGUGUUGCUGCACCGCCUGCGGACCGGGACGCUAUUCCUGUGACAACAUCGCGGGAUCCAAGGACCUCUGAAAAUUUGGAGGAAAGUGAAUUCUCUCAGUUCCAGCCCAGAAGCAACAUUUUCUCAGGCCCCUAUCAUCCAACCAGGAUUGUUGGGGACACAACCUGCUAACUGCAAUCCAUCCAUGAACUAAGAUUUGAGAGUUGAAAGACGUGUUCAGCUGUCAGCUUUUAGCUUGGCUCGGUGUAGACAUUGCUCCGACUGUCAAUUAUUCCCUAAUCUAGAAGACCUAUGAAGCGGGUGGAUAUGACCUUAGAAAAUAAUCCUUUUACAGAGGCUUGUGAAGAUGGAAUAUGGACUCGAGUUACUUGACCUGAUUUCAUCAGCAAAU